GCCCGCUUGGCGGAACCGGUAGACGCAAGGGACUUAAAAUCCCUUAUCCUCACGGGUGUGUGGGUUCGAGUCCCACAGCGGGCACCA
rnacentral:tRNA from 1 species